rnacentral:rRNA from 1 species
AUGUGGCAAUCUUUGACAAAGUUAGUCACAAACCAAACAGCCCCGAAGAAUCAUGACUCUUCGCUUCCUCCGUCGUCAAGGCUUUGGUUCAUUGCACAAUUCAGGCCAAGUGUGAACGACUCCUAUAUCUCUACUACAAAAGAAAGAAAAAACCUCUCGUGUGACAAGGCUUUGGUUCAUUGCACAAUUCAGGCACCCGCAAGAGAAGGAAGAAGGACGAGGAAUUCAGACCAACCAUUGAUCCGCCUCUCUUUCUUCUUUCCUUUUCGUCUCAACUCAGUGGCAACGUUCCCACCAUUUUCUUCCCGGCGCCGAUGCCGAGAUUGCCCGCUCUCUUUAAACAAGUUACAACCUUUUGUUCGCUAA